rnacentral:rRNA from 1 species
UACGUAGGGUGCGAGCGUUAAUCGGAAUUACUGGGCGUAAAGCGUGCGCAGGCGGUUUGUUAAGUCAGAUGUGAAAGCCCCGGGCUCAACCUGGGAACUGCGUUUGGUACUGGCAAGCUAGAGUACGGCAGAGGGGGGUGGAAUUCCACGUGUAGCAGUGAAAUGCGUAGAGAUGUGGAGGAACACCGAUGGCGAAGGCAGCCCCCUGGGCCAAUACUGACGCUCAUGCACGAAAGCGUGGGGAGCAAACAGG